GCAGGAGUACAGUUGGUCCCGUUGGAAAGAUUUAGCAAAGCAUUCAUCAAUAAGACGCAUCUCAGUAGUAAUAUGUAGCUUUCGUCCUGUUUUUGAUCACGCAAGUUUUUUGUUUCCGCAUACCGCUGAUCUGGCAUCACAACGAUGUUGGACGGCAUAUUAAAAGAUUGAAUUCAGGAUAGUAAAAUAUGUCUACUGUUACCGGUACUGUUAAGUUUUUCAACGAAUCCAAAGGUUUUGGUUUUAUCACUCGUGAAGGCGGCCCGGACGUUUUUGUUCACUACAGCUCCAUUCAGGGCGGCGGCUUCAAGACUCUGGCUGAAGGCCAGCAGGUAGAAUUCACCGUAUCUCAGGGCCAGAAAGGUCCUCAGGCGGAAAACGUAAUCGGUCUGUAAAUAACAGCCCGAAUACGAUUUGAAAAGGCAGCUUCGGCUGCCUUUUUUCG
rnacentral:sRNA from 1 species